AUGUUGUUUAAGGGUACACACUUGCAACUAGCAGAUAAAUACGUCCCAGAGACCUAAUGCAUAGUAUAGUGAAUACAGACAACAAUGCUGUAUUAUAAACAUCAAACUUGCUAAGAGACUAGAUAUUAAUUAUUCCCACCACAAAAAAAGAAAUGAUUAUUAUGUGACAUGAUAGAGCUGCUAACUAUCACUACAAUGACAAUAAUAUUACACUAUAUAAAUGCAUCAAAUCAACAUGUUGUACACCCUAAAUUUACACAAUGUUAUAUGUCC